rnacentral:rRNA from 1 species
UAGUGAGUUUGAUCCUGGCUCAGAACGAACGCUGGCGGCAGGCCUAACACAUGCAAGUCGAGCGCCCCGCAAGGGGAGCGGCGGACGGGUGAGUAACGCGUGGGAACGUACCCUUUGCUACGGAAUAGCCUCGGGAAACUGGGAGUAAUACCGUAUGUGCCCUUCGGGGGAAAGAUUUAUCGGCAAAGGAUCGGCCCGCGUUGGAUUAGGUAGUUGGUGGGGUAAUGGCCUACCAAGCCGACGAUCCAUAGCUGGUUUGAGAGGAUGAUCAGCCACACUGGGACUGAGACACGGCCCAGACUCCUACGGGAGCAGCAGUGGGGAAUUUGGACAAUGGGCGCAAGCCUGAUCCAGCAAUGCCGCGUGAGUGAA